rnacentral:sRNA from 1 species
GCUGGGUGCAGUGGCACAUGCCUGUAAUCCCCGUGAUUUGGGAGGCUGAGGCAGGAGGAUCACAAGUGAAAGGCUAACGUCAGCAAUUUAGCAAGGUCCGAAGCAACUUAGUGAGACCCUGUCUCAA